rnacentral:rRNA from 1 species
UACGAAGGGGGCUAGCGUUGCUCGGAAUUACUGGGCGUAAAGCGCACGUAGGCGGGCCGUUAAGUCAGGGGUGAAAUCCCGGAGCUCAACUCCGGAACUGCCUUUGAUACUGGCGACCUUGAGGCUGGAAGAGGUUAGUGGAAUUCCCAGUGUAGAGGUGAAAUUCGUAGAUAUUGGGAAGAACACCAGUGGCGAAGGCGGCUAACUGGUCCAGAUCUGACGCUGAGGUGCGAAAGCGUGGGGAGCAAACAGG